ACGUAGUUUGAUCCGUGGCUACGAGGACGAACGCUGGCGGCGUGCUUAACACAUGCAAGUCGAGCGGGGAUAUUGGCUUCGGCUGAUAUUCUAGCGGCGACGGGUGAGUAACGCGUGAACAAUCUGUCCCAGACAGGGGGAUAACACUUGGAAACAGGUGCUAAUACCGCAUAAGACCACGAUCUCGCAUGGGAUUGAGGUAAAAGGAGCAAUCCGGUUUGGGGUGAGUUCGCGUCCGAUUAGCUAGUUGGUGAGGUAAACGGCCCACCAAGGCGACGAUCGGUAGCCGACCUGAGAGGGUGAUCGGCCACAUUGGAACUGAGACACGGUCCAAACUCCUACGGGAGGCAGCAGUGGGGAAUAUUGGGCAAUGGGCGAAGGCCUGACCCAGCAACGCCGCGUGAGGGAAGAAGGUUCUCGGAUUGUAAACCUCUGUCCUUGGUGACGAAGGAAGUGACGGUAGCCAAGGAGGAAGCCCCGGCUAACUACGUG
rnacentral:rRNA from 1 species